rnacentral:rRNA from 1 species
AAUGAACGCUGGCGGCAGGCCUAAAACAUGCAAGUCGAACGCCCUAGCAAUAGGGAGUGGCGCACGGGGGAGUAACAUGUGGGAAUAUGCCUUCCGGUACGGAAAAACGUUUGGAAACGAACGCUAAUACCGUAUGGUCCCUCCGGGGUAAAGAUUUAUCGCCAAAAGAUUAGCCCGCACUAGAUUAGCAAGUUGGUAAGGUAAUGGCUUACCAAGGCGACGAUCUAUAGCUGUUCUGAGAGGAAGAUCAGCCACACUGGGACUGAGACACGGCCCAGACUCCUACGGGAGGCAGCAGUUAGGAAUAUUGGACAAUGGGCGCAAGCCUGAUCCAGCCAUGCCGCGUGAGUGAUGAAGGCCUUCGGGUUGUAAAGCUCUUUAGCCGACGAAUAUAAUGACUGUAGUCGGAGAAUAAGCCCCGGCUAACUCCGUGCCAGCCGCCGCCGUAAGAC